GGGGUUGUAGCUCAGUGGUAGAGUGCUUGCCUAGCAUGUGCGAGGCCCUGGGUUUGAUCCCCAGCACCACA
rnacentral:tRNA from 1 species